rnacentral:rRNA from 1 species
AACUAGUUUUUAAUAAAAAUUUUCUCGAAUUUUGGAGGGCUAAGAAUUAAUAUAUUUUAAUGUGGAAUAAUUAUUUAUAAUUAAUUUUUUGUAAUUAGACGUUAGUCGAUCCUUAUGAUAUCUAGUUUCCUGAGAAAUUAAUUUAAUUAACCGGAGUGAAUUAAUUUUUAUUUAAGAAUUAAAUUUUUAUGCUUGGAAUAUGCAGAGGGAAAAGCUUUUGUGUAUAUUUUUAUAAUAGUUUUUGUCUUAAUAAUUUAUAGGAUUAGAAGUUUCCAUUUUUAGUGUGUUUUUACUAGAUUUUAAGGGUAGAUAAUUUUUUUUUGUUUAAGUAUUUUAUCAGGAUGAAAUCUUUAAUAUUGGAGUUUUGGAAAAAUGAUGAAAUUAGUAGAGUGGAAUGUAUAAGAACUUAAAAUUAUUAGAAAUUAUUUUUAGGAACUAGGCAAAUUUCUUUCCGCCUGUUUAAUAAAAACAUGGCUUUUUGAUAAUAAUAUAAGGUCGGGCCUGCCCAAUGAUAAUUUAAAUGGCUGCGGUAUAUUGACCGUGCAAAGGUAGCAUAAUCAUUAGUUUUUUUAUUGAAAGCUGGAAUGAAGGGUUUAACGAGAAAGAAGCUGUCUUAAUUUAAUUAUUUGAAUUUUAUAUUUAAGUGAGAAAGCUUAAAUUAAUUUGAGGGACGAGAAGACCCUAUAGAAUUUAAUAAUUUAAUUAUUUCAGGAGUUUGGGGUAUGAAAAUUGAUGUAAUAAGAAUUAAUUUGUUGGGGUGAUGGGAAAAUUUAAAUAACUUUUUUUGAUUUAUUUUCAUUGAUAUAUGAUUAAAUGAUCCAUUAAAAGUGAUUAUAAGAAAAAAUUACCUUAGGGAUAACAGCGUUAUUAGUCUGGAGAGCUCAAAUCGAUAGACUAGAUUGCGACCUCGAUGUUGGAUUAAAAUUGACUUUUGGUGGAGAGACUAGAAAGUUAAGUCUGUUCGACUUUUAAAAUUUU